GACGAACGCUGGCGGCGCGCUUAACACAUGCAAGUCGAGCGAAGCGGCGGACGGGUGAGUAACACGUGAGUAACCUGCCUUAGACAUUGGGAUAGCCUCGGGAAACCGGGAUUAAUACCAAAUAGUCUAAGAUGGACUCGCGUCCCAUUAGCUAGUUGGUGAGGUAACGGCCCACCAAGCCGACGAUGGGUAGCCGGUCUGAGAGGCUGAACGGCAACAUUGGGACUGAGACACGGCCCAGACUCCUACGGGAGGCAGCAGUAGGGAAUCUUCCGCAAUGGACGAAAGUCUGACGGAGCAACGCCGCGUGAGUGAUGACGGCCUUCGGGUUGUAAAGCUCUGUUGAUCGGGACGCGGUACCGGAAUAGAAAGCCACGGCUAACUACGUGCCAGCCGCCGCGGUAAUAC
rnacentral:rRNA from 1 species